rnacentral:hammerhead_ribozyme from 1 species
AUCCAGAUGACGAGUUUCAAAUAGGAUGAAACUUGCGUCCUGGAU